UAGUGUUAAGGCAAUAUCUUGAUGAUGUUGAAAUUGAUAGUGUUUACCAGAUUAUUAAUCUUCAUAUUCACGAGAUAAUGAAGCAGCUAGAGUACUUGGUCAUAGUUAUCAAUCAGAUGCAGCGCUAAUACGUGACAAUUUUUCAGAUAACAGUUUUGAAGACGAUUUUCAGAAAAUAGAAAAAAAAGUUUUAUUUCAAAGCAAGCUAGAACAAGGAUUGAGCAUUCCAUUCUGAGCAUUCCACAGACUUUUAAUUUUAAUUAUUAAUUUUAACUAUCAAUACUCAACAUCUACAACCAUUUGCUGAUAGAAUUUUUGAAUUUGCUGAUGAGGAUUUUGAACAAAAUUUUGUUCAGGCUGGUUGUUGCUGUUUCUUCCAAACGUGGGACUGCAUCAAUGCUGUAAAAUUUAUGCUAAGGACCAUGUUGACUAAUCAAGAUUUAAGAAAUUUAACUGGACAGGACAACCCCUAAACACCAAAUUUCGGGAAUGCAAAUGCCAUGGAGUUUUAAAUUAACAGCAACUUAGAUUUCGACUGAAAAAGGAAGUGGAGGACAUGAAUAAAAAACCUAUGUUUAAAUGGCCAGCAGUGGAUAGCCAAUGCUGCAUUCCAGAUGACAUCGUUUGCAAGCUUGAAGUAAUGACUACAAAAACAGGAUGUGGCUACUGUUUAGAUGACAAAGACGAUUUUAACAAAUUUAUUUUCU